UCUCUCGGUUUCUCUCUCGGUUUCUCUCUCUCUCCCUCCACCGAUCUCCCUCCGUCGUCCUCCUCUCCCCCUCCUCCGCUGUCCUCCUCUCCCUCAUCUCAUCACCGCCGAUCUCCCUACUCCUCCGCUGUCUUUGGCCAGAGAGAGCUGUGGUUAGGGUUUUCGAUCUCGGCCAGAACAAGUACUCAGAUCUGCAACGAUCGAGGCCACAAGCGUCGCCGCUGGUGAACAAGUUGAGUUCGAUGCCCUAGACAGCAGAGGUCUCCAACAAUAUUUUUGGAUUUGUUUUUGGAGAUAGAGAAACAAUGUUUCGAAUGUCUCUCUCA